CUAAAAGCAUUAGCUUUCAGUCUUCACUCCAAAUCCCCUUGAACAAAGAGGCUCCAUCUGGGAGGCCAAACCAGCAGGGUGGGGCCAAGGGAGUGUGGCUGCUUGCUGAGAGACAGACAGACAGACAGACAGACAGGCGGGCCCUCAGCCACACGAGAGUGUGUUGCCAAACUCCGUGGGUGAUUCAGGCGCCAGAGCUAGGUGCCUCCGUGUCCUCUUCAAUGGCUUGGCGCAAGGGUCAGAGGUGAAGCUCGGGUGCCUGCGACAGUGAGCUCUUCGUGGUUUUCACAUACCGUUGAUGUCCUGGCUCCUGGCGGGUGGCCCUGGAAGGUCCCUGUGUGCCCAGGGAUGGCCCACGGAACAAUGCCCACACCGCCGCUGCCCCGUGUCUCUGCAGCACCAGACAGGUCUGCGAUUGGGAAGGGGCUCGGUGUUCAGGGGCCAGUGACCUUUGUCCUGGUACCUGUGUGUCCAGGAAAGUAAACUGAGGCUGCCUGAGCCCCCCAAAAGCCUCACCCUGACCCUUCCACCUGCUUGGGACCCCGCUUGGGGGGCCUCCCGGGACAACGGGGGGAGGGGGGUGAGAGGAAAUAAAUGCCUGCCACCGCCUGUCUCGUGA